CACCUGGCCAUAGGCUGUGUUAUCUACCAUGCUCCAUGGAGUUAUGGACUGACAUCUGCCAGGAAGGAGCAGGAAAGGCUGAGCUCCAGCUCUGCAGGUCUGUGGGACUGUGAUGUGACCUGGGCAAGCCACCGCCAUGAGCUGCUACCACACCCUUUCCUACAGGUACCUGCAAGCUGAUAGAAGUUCAGUGUUGGACAUUCAAAGCUUUUAAAACUGUUCCUGGGAGGAAUAAAGCUUUUCUUUGAAUUUGAGGGUUUCAUUAUGUCAGCUGCAUGUGAUCAGGUCUUGGACCGGUCAUACUUCUCUUCACAAAGGACUCUUAUUUGCCACCAUCUCCCUUGGAUCUGAGAUCCAGGCCUAAAUUUAAUGUUCCAGCUGAAACCCCACCAACACAGAGAGGUCUGACAUACCUGAUCAUCUGUGCUUCUCUUUGAAAGUGUCCAUGAGUGAAUUCAGUUUACUUUACACUGAUGACUCUGGUUCGACUUGAACUUUUUCUGCAAAAUUUCUCCCUCAGUUACUGUUCUC